rnacentral:rRNA from 1 species
AGCAGCCGCGGUAAUUCCAGCUCCAAUAGCGUAUAUUAAAGUUGUUGCAGUUAAAAAGCUCGUAGUUGAAUUUCGGGAUCAAUACGUCGGUCGUGCCUCGGUACGUACUAACGUUAUUGAUUUCUCCCUUCUAACAAAUCGUGAUGUCAUUAAUUUGGUGUUACGAGGAGUUAGGACUGUUACCUUGAAAAAAUUAGAGUGUUUAAAGCAGGCAAUCGCUCGAAUACAUUAGCAUGGAAUAAUGAAAUAGGACGUUCGAACCUAUUUUGUUGGUUUCUAGGAUCGACGUAAUGAUUAAUAGGGAUAGUUGGGGGCAUUAGUAUUCAAUUGUCAGAGGUGAAAUUCUUGGAUUUAUUGAAGACUAACUACUGCGAAAGCAUUUGCCAAGGAUGUUUUCAUUAAUCAAGAACGAAAGUUAGGGGAUCGAAGACGAUCAGAUACCGUCGUAGUCUUAACCAUAAACUAUGCCGGCUAGGGAUCGGAUGAUGUUAAUUUUUUAAUGACUCAUUCGGCGCCUUACG